rnacentral:lncRNA from 1 species
CUCUGUUUUGUCAAAACAAGACAGUUAGGUUCACAGGGUAGGAUGUGAGUAUCAUCAGAACCCCAAACUAAGUUAUUUUUUUGUCUGAAAGUAACUAUAACAUCAACACCUUCUUUGAUGUCAGCCCAGUAUGGUACUAUGCCAGCUAUUUUCUGACAGUUGCCUUGAAUUUUUUAUUACUAUAUGAAGCUAAAAAUGACCUUUGAAAGUUUUGGCAUCUGUUUGAUCUUCAAUUGGAGUCCCUGGAGCUCUGGAGGAUCUAAAAUACUUCCACAAUGCCGGCGGAUGCAGAAUGUGAG